rnacentral:tRNA from 1 species
GGAGAUGUGGCAGAGUGGUCUAUUGCGUCUGAUUCGAAAUCAGAAGUCCGUGAAAGCGGUCCGGGGGUUCGACUCCCUCCAUCUCCG